UUAAAUGGAGUGCCUUACUGAGGACCUCAACAUUGCCUUGUCUGCUGCCAUUGAUUCAGUUGCUCCGAUCGUAACUAAAAAACGAACAUUGAAAAAACCAGCCCCCUGGUUUAAUGCAGAAACUGUGGUGGCCCAGCCGCUGAGCAGUGCCCCACAUGGCCACGUGGCUGCCACAAAGGCAGGCAAAGGCAGCCAAGGGGUGUGGUGCUGGAUGGGAGGUACUACUCAGGUUACCCUGCACAGGUGCGCUGAGUUAGCCCUGCAAUCAGAGGGCCAUUUUAACUCCACCAGAACAGGCUGAAGACAGACUGGCUGGUGGAGCGUGUGGAGACCAGAGACACGUUAGGCCAGUCUCGUGGUAAGAGGCCUGUUGCCAACCUUCUUGAUCACUCCAAACCUAAUUAAUGAAGUUACGUUCAAGUGGACCGAAGAGCUGUUUUGUCGGUGUGUGAAUUGUGUCGUGCUGAAACCCGAGAGAAGGCCUGCAGCUGAAGAGGAACCCCAACGACUCCAAGAGGAAACCCAAGCCGAGCUAGGGCGAAGAGGUCAGUGGCAGGGACCACAGACCCCAUUAACCUUGGUCUAUCUUUCUCUCUCUCUCUCUGGCCCCACCCCAGGAAGAGCCAGAAAGGGCACCCUGACGACAGCCGCCAACCCGGUGAAGAUUUGAGCGUGUUGCGGGUACUGGACUGGAUGCCUGGACUCUCCUCAUGGAUAACCGGCCAGAACCCCAUCACCAUUUUAAUAUGAUGUGCAUGUAUUUACCUGUAUGUCAAUUGUGGCACCCAUUGCACUCCUGACCAUCCCUGGAAGAAGGGAUCCCCUACUAUGCGUUUCUUCUCAAGAUUUCUUCCAUGCUGAUUUCAAGGGAGUUAUUUCUUGCCCGUGUGGGGGCAUGGGUAAGGGGGUUGUCAUAAAUAUUUGGCCUGUUAAGCCAUUUGAGGCUGUAAUGGUGAUUAAGGGCUAUACAAAUAAAAUUGAAUUGAAGAGAUCUUCUAUCACGAUCAUUCAAGAUUUUAUCUGACCACAUUUCUUCCUCAAAGAUGACGGUUCACCACUAUUUAUUCCAGUUUAAAUAAUGCGUUGGACAGAUCUUAACCCGAUUUUAGUAGUUUCUUCUUCUCCUGAAUAGUUUUCCUUGUUUGAUGCAGGCCAAUAAUUUAACAGUUCUGAAACAAUGACAUCUUUUCCACAACCACAGCAUAUGUCUUCUGACAUGGUUGUUUAAGAAAUAAGAAGCUAUUCACUGCAUCAGUUAGGGUUAAAUAACUUGUUGCCAACUGAAACAUAGCACUGUAGUUUUUGACUGAUGGAAGGCUCUUUCCGAUUUGCUUAGUAAAAUCCAGGUGGUGACUUUCUUUUUGGCCGGGCAGUGUAACUAGCCUCCAAAGCAGAUGAAGGAUUCUACUUACCUUAGUGGUUCAAUCUGCAUCCUCCAUCCUGGCUGGUUAUGUAAGAUAAAGCCUCUGAGGCAGUUAAGAAAGGACACUACUUUUCUGUGCAGGUACUUCCAGGCUGGCAAUGGCACCGUUGCUAGUCACGGGCAUAUAGAAAAGGAGCUAAAUCUAAUAUAACCAGCCUGAAAGGGGGAUGAACAAUGUACCAGGAGAAAAGUAGAAUCCUUUCUUAUCUGCUUAUAUUACCUACAUUAUAGGGUGCAACUCAACAAUGCAUGUCUGAAAAUGGAUCCUGACAAAAAUGUUUUGUUUUUGGGUUUUUUAUUGUUAAGUGACCAUAACAGACAGUCAUUUGGCGGUAUGAAAAAGGCAAUGAAAAGAUUCUCGCAAUAUGGCUCGAUGAAGAAGGCUUUUGAAAAGCUGAAGGUAGACAGGAACACAAUUGCCAGGACUGCUGUGAUUGCAGAGCUGUUCCUCACCUUCCCGGAUCGUUUCAAAGAGCUCAAUAGAGAGCACGAUGAUAAGAUAGUCGACUUUGCAGAGCGCUACAGGAAUGCUAUUACAAAGGAUAUGGCAGAGGUCAUAACUGAAAAUAAACAUAAGGGCAAGCUCCUCCCGAUAAUGUACCAAUAUACUUAAGGGCUUUGGUUUUAGGUUCAAAGGGGCAUGGGUUCUAGGUUUAAAGGGGCAUGAGCAAUACUGAAAGUUUGUUUAAAUCAGUGAAUAUCUCCUCACAAUCCCCUCAACAAAACAACUGUUGUUAAUGGUUGGAUUUUCUUUAAUCUAUUUUGAGCAGCCGUUUAAAAUAUUAGGUAUUUUAAUGCAACUGUUUUGUUCUUGUACUUGUUCAUUUAGGGACUGGAAAGUGUUUUUUUUAAGUGGUUCUUAUUUCAUUUUGGCCACAACUAUACAUUUUUUUGUCUUAAUGUAAAUAAAAGAGACUGUCUUGACUUAUAUUGCUUUUGUUUAGGUAUUUUCCUCAUGUAAUACCCAAAUGCUUCAUGAUACAUUUAUGAAGUUGUGACUACUGCACACUGUUGUGUGUGUAAUUAAGUGUAAUAACAUUUACUGAAAAGUCCAAAUUGUUUCACUGAGGUAAAGGGAAUAAUUCAUGACAGUAUAAUAAAGGUCUCAUGACAGUCAAUGUCAAUAUUGGCCAGUGUAGUAACUUUUAAUGACAUAUUAUUGAAAUGUCCAAAUUGUUUCACUUUACUUGAGGCCAAUAGAAUCAUUCAUGAGCCAUUGAGCCUGUUGUAAAGGCAUUAGACAGGGUAAUAACGCUUCAUGACAUGUUAUUGAAAUUUCCAAAUUGUUUCACUUUACUUGAGGCAAACAGAAUCAUUCAUGACAGUAUAGGUCUGAUGACAGUCAAUGUGAAAACCUUCCGCAUAUGACAGUUUAAUGUAAUUUUACAUAAAUCGAAAUAGUUUCUUUACAUUUGAUUAUUAAGCCUACUUUGACAUGUUUAUGACCGAUCAUGUUAUUGGUUAAUGUCAAGUCGACAUAACCAAGACAUCAACAAGAUAUUUUGCCUCAGCUUAUGUCAGGUUGUCAUAACAAAGACUUCUCAUACAAUGUCAAUGUUGCAUUAAACGUGACAUAAUUGACCGAAUGACACUUUAUGACAACAGUCAUAACUAUUCAUAAUGUUCAUGACAGGUGUCAUGUCAUGGUUAUGACAGUGUAAUGACAGUCCUAUGACAGUC